rnacentral:rRNA from 1 species
CAGCAGCCGCGGUAAUACAGAGGGUGCGAGCGUUAAUCGGAUUUACUGGGCGUAAAGCGUGCGUAGGCGGCUUCUUAAGUCGGAUGUGAAAUCCCUGAGCUUAACUUAGGAAUUGCAUUCGAUACUGGGAAGCUAGAGUAUGGGAGAGGAUGGUAGAAUUCCAGGUGUAGCGGUGAAAUGCGUAGAGAUCUGGAGGAAUACCGAUGGCGAAGGCAGCCAUCUGGCCUAAUACUGACGCUCAUGCACGAAAGCGUGGGGAGCAAACAGGAUUAGAUACCCGCGUAGUCCCUGUCUCUUAUAC